CUUGCUUCUUUGCUGACGAUUGGCGGACGGGUGAGUAAUGUCUGGGAAACUGCCUGAUGGAGGGGGAUAACUACUGGAAACGGUAGCUAAUACCGCAUAAUGUCGCAAGACCAAAGAGGGGGACCUUCGGGCCUCUUGCCAUCAGAUGUGCCCAGAUGGGAUUAGCUUGUUGGUGGGGUAACGGCUCACCAAGGCGACGAUCCCUAGCUGGUCUGAGAGGAUGACCAGCCACACUGGAACUGAGACACGGUUCCAAACUCCAUACGGGAGGCAGCAGUGGGGAAUAUUGCACAAUGGGCGCAAGCCUGAUGCACCAUGCCGCGUGUAUUAAGAAGGGCUUCGGGUUGUAAAGUACUUUCAGCGGGGAGGAAGGCGAUACGGCUAAUAACCGUGUCGAUUGACGUUCCCCGCAGAAAAAACACCGCGCUAACUCCCUGCCACCAACCGCGGUUAUUCGGAGGGUGCAAGCGUUAAUCCGGAAUUACUGGGCGUUUAAGCGCACGCAGGCGGCUGUCAAAUCGGAUUUAAUCCCCGGGCCACACCGGGAAACUGCAUUCUAAAACAUUGGGAGGGCUUUAAAUUUUUUUGUAAAAGGGGGGGGUAAAAUUUCCCNGGUGUUUGGUAAAAAUGGGUAUAUAAAAUUUGGAAAGGAAUAAUCCGGGNGUGGAAAAAGGGGGCCCCCUGGGACAAAAAAAAGAACUCAGUGUAAAAACUGGG
rnacentral:rRNA from 1 species